UAAUAUAUCGAAUAGACGAUGAUGAGUGCAUCCAGUCGCCAUGUGAGAAAGGAUAUAAAUGCUCAAAUUAUCCAGGAGGAUACGACUGUAAUCUUAUUAGCAGUGAAACAUGUGGCACAGGCUUUCUUUUAAAAAAUGGCAGCUGCAUUGAUAUUGAUGAGUGUGCUCAAAGUACGACCAAUUCUUGCAGAAACGAUUUGCACCAGGAAUGCAAGAACACUGUGGGCAGUUACCACUGCAACUGCCUGCCUGGUUAUAGCUUGGAUGUAACGCAGAACAAAUGCGUUGAUAUAAAUGAAUGCUCAAUUAACAAUCACAACUGCCUCCCAACUCAAAGAUGCGAUAACACGAUCGGGUCAUAUAUAUGCACGCGUUGGACAUCUUGUGGCACGGGAUAUACAUUGAAUGCUGGUACUGGAAAUUGUGAUGGUAAGUAAAAUAUUUACUAAGAAUAAG